GUCAUGAUCGACUAAAUGGAUAAGUCGCUGUGAAAUCUUGGUUCGAAUCCAAGUCAUGACU
rnacentral:tRNA from 1 species